rnacentral:rRNA from 1 species
GGCAGCACGGGUACUUGUACCUGGUGGCGAGCGGCGGACGGGUGAGUAAUGCCUAGGAAUCUGCCUGGUAGUGGGGGAUAACGCUCGGAAACGGACGCUAAUACCGCAUACGUCCUACGGGAGAAAGCAGGGGACCUUCGGGCCUUGCGCUAUCAGAUGAGCCUAGGUCGGAUUAGCUAGUUGGUGGGGUAAUGGCUCACCAAGGCGACGAUCCGUAACUGGUCUGAGAGGAUGAUCAGUCAUACUGGAACUGAGACACGGUCCAGACUCCUACGGGAGGCAGCAGUGGGGAAUAUUGGACAAUGGGCGAAAGCCUGAUCCAGCCAUGCCGCGUGUGUGAAGAAGGUCUUCGGAUUGUAAAGCACUUUAAGUUGGGAGGAAGGGCAGUUACCUAAUACGUAUCUGUUUUGACGUUACCGACAGAAUAAGCACCGGCUAACUCUGUGCCAGCAGCCGCGGUAAUACAGAGGGUGCAAGCGUUAAUCGGAAUUACUGGGCGUAAAGCGCGCGUAGGUGGUUUGUUAAGUUGAAUGUGAAAUCCCCGGGCUCAACCUGGGAACUGCAUGCAAAACUGGCAAGCUAGAGUAUGGUAGAGGGUGGUGGAAUUUCCUGUGUAGCGGUGAAAUGCGUAGAUAUAGGAAGGAACACCAGUGGCGAAGGCGACCACCUGGACUGAUACUGACACUGAGGUGCGAAAGCGUGGGGAGCA